rnacentral:rRNA from 1 species
UGGGGAAUAUUGCACAAUGGGCGAAAGCCUGAUGCAGCAACGCCGCGUGAGGGACGACGGCCUUCGGGUUGUAAACCUCUUUUAGCAAGGAAGAAGCGAAAGUGACGGUACUUGCAGAAAAAGCGCCGGCUAACUACGUGCCAGCAGCCGCGGUAAUACGUAGGGCGCAAGCGUUAUCCGGAAUUAUUGGGCGUAAAGAGCUCGUAGGCGGUUUGUCGCGUCUGCUGUGAAAACCCGAGGCUCAACCUCGGGCCUGCAGUGGGUACGGGCAGACUAGAGUGCGGUAGGGGAGAUUGGAACUCCUGGUGUAGCGGUGGAAUGCGCAGAUAUCAGGAAGAACACCGAUGGCGAAGGCAGAUCUCUGGGCCGUAACUGACGCUGAGGAGCGAAAGGGUGGGGAGCAAAACAGGCUUAGAUACCCUGGUAGUCCACCCCGUAAACGUUGGGAACUAGUUGUGGGGUCCAUUCCACGGAUUCCGUGACGCAGCUAACGCAUUAAGUUCCCCGCCUGGGGAGUACGGCCGCAAGGCUAAAACUUGAAAGGAAUUGACGGGGUCAUAGCUGUUUCCU